rnacentral:rRNA from 1 species
GAUGAACGCUGGCGGCGUGCCUAAUACAUGCAAGUCGAGCGGACGGACGAGAAGCUUGCGGCUCUGAUGUUAGCGGCGGACGGGUGAGUAACACGUGGAUAACCUACCUAUAAGACUGGGAUAACUUCGGGAAACCGUAGCUAAUACCGGAUAAUAUUUUGAACCGCAUGGUUCAAAAGUGAAAGACGGUCUUGCUGUCACUUAUAGAUGGAUCCGCGCUGCAUUAGCUAGUUGGUAAGCUAACGGCUUACCAAGGCAACGAUGCAUAGCCGACCGGAGAGAGUGAUAGGCCACACUGGAAGUGAGACGCGGUCCAGACUACUGCGGGAGGGAGCAGAAGGGAAUGUGACGCAGUAGGCGAAAGCAUGACGGAGCAACGCGGAGUGAGUGAUGGCGGUCUUCGGAUCGUAAUACUCUGUUAUUAGGGAAAAACCUCUGUGUCAGUAGAUGUGCACAGAUUGACGGUACCUAAUAAGAAAGCAACGGCUAACUACGUG